UCCGACUUGUCGCCGGCAGUCUCCCUAGAGUCCCCGACAUAACUCGCUGGCAACUAAGGACAAGGGUUGCGCUCGUUGCGGGACUUAACCCAACAUCUCACGACACGAGCUGACGACAGCCAUGCAGCACCUGUGUACGAGCCCCGAAGGGCUGCCAUAUUUCUACGACAUUCCAGUGCAUGUCAAGCCUUGGUAAGGUUCUUCGCGUCGCGUCGAAUUAAACCACAUGCUCCGCUGCUUGUGCGGGCCCCCGUCAAUUCCUUUGAGUUUCAGCCUUGCGGCCGUACUCCCCAGGCGGGGUACUUAUUGCGUUAGCGACGGCACCGAAGGGGUCGCUCCCCCCGGCGCCUAGUACCCAUCGUUUACGGCGUGGACUAC
rnacentral:misc_RNA from 1 species